rnacentral:rRNA from 1 species
GAUGAACGCUGGCUACAGGCUUAACACAUGCCAGUCGAGGGGAAACGACGGGGAAGCUUGCUUCCCCGGGCGUCGACCGGCGCACGGGUGAGUAACGCGUAUCCAACCUGCCUCUGACUGAGGGAUAACCCGUCGAAAGUCGGCCUAAUACCUCAUGGCAUCGUCUGCGGGCAUCCAACGACGAUUAAAGAUGUCAUCGGUCAGAGAUGGGGAUGCGUCUGAUGAGCUUGUUGGCGGGGUCACGGCCCACCAAGGCGACGAUCAGUAGGGGUUCUGAGGGGGCGGUCCCGCGCGUUGGACCUGCGACACUGGCCAUGCUCCUACGGCCGGCAGCCGUGAGGAGUCUUCGUCAGUGGGCGAGGGCCUGAGCCAGCCAGGUUGAGUGCAGGAUGACGGCCGUAGGGGUUGUACCCUGCUUUUAUGCGGGGCUAACGUGCGGGACGUGUCCUUCAUUGCCGGUACCGGAUGAAUAAGCACCGGCUAACUCCGUG